UUCUUUCAUGAGCAAGAAGCAGAACUCAGCUUGGGUUUGUACAGCUGUCAGUGAAACGAGGCUUCUGGGUGCUCUUUUAAUGUAAGCAAUUAAUAAGUGGGAAUGCAGCUGCAAAACGCAUUAGCCAGGUCAGCAGACGUCUCCAGCCUUGCCAAAAGGACGAAGUGCACCACAGGAGAAAGCCUGCAGACUUUGCACCCAGUGUGCAUGCUGGGAACCAUCAUCCCUCUGGGUCUGUACGAUCUGGAAUGCCUUCAUAAAACGCGGCCAGAGCAGAUGCAAGUUCUUGGUCAGAACUCAGGCACUGUGACUGUUGGUUUUGGUGGACAGAAGAAGAAGUCCCCUUGCACAUUCACUUGAAAUACAGAGGUGAGAGAAGAAAUUCCUGCUGCACCUUACAAACCAUCAGACUCACCAGCAGCUUUCCUGAAAUGGCCACUGACCUUCUGCAGCCCACCUCAUCUCAUUUUUGGGGACUUGAUUUUUAGCGGUGUUGAGUUCAGGCUGCUCAGUUGAACCAGCAUGGAGCCAGUUGCUGGUGUCAGCAGGCCCUGGGACACUAGCUCUUCAGAGAAAGUCCUCUGCGGGCAACCCCUGCACCUGUCUGAAAGGCAUUCAGAUCUGGGGAUUGUGAGAAACCGAAGCCCAGCUGAGCCAGACAAGGUUCUAUAAAAUAAGCUUCAUUCCCCCGUUGGUGCAUAGAUCAGUCCAUUUCAAUUAAAACAGGGGCUAAAAGGAACAUUUUGAGACAAUGGUCCUUGCUCCAUUAAACAAGAACUGUUGUGGUAGGCCCCUUAUUGUCCUUCUCCCAGUAUACCCCUUUGACCACCCAACAUGCUUCGUUUCUAAUCCAGCUUUAUACAGAUUCCAGCUUCAGGCCAUCGGUCUGAAAAAAGCAGGACUUGGCUAAGACCUAAUAGUCUGUUGGAUAUUCUUGAUAACGUUGAGAUUUGUGGGUGAGGGGUCUAAGGAAGCAGAAGGAAGAAAUGAUGUAGGCUUAUCAGGUCACCAAAAAUAAAUCUGCCCUUUUAAAAUUAGGUUUGUAAUUUGGAAACUUUGAUGAAUCUUUGGCUGUGUGACAAUAUAAA